ensembl:Y_RNA Y_RNA Y RNA
GGCUGGCCCGAUGAUAGUGGGUUAUCAGAAGUGAUUAACAGUGUCACUAAAGUUGGUAUACAAAACCCACUGCUAAAUUUGGCUUUUUAUUU